UAACGAAUCUUCCGCAAUGGGCGCAAGCCUGACGGAGCAAUGCCGCGUGUGGGAUGAAGUACCUCUGGUAUGUAAACCACUGUCAGGGAUCGGAACCAAUGAUUGAUCCCAAAGGAAGUGGCGACUAACUCUGUGCCAGCAGUCGCGGUAAUACAGAGGCCACAAGCGUUAGUCGGAAUCACUGGGCUUAAAGGGUGCGUAGGCGGGUUCGUAAGUGUCUUGUGAAAUCCCCCGGCUCAACCGGGGAAUUGCAGGGCAUACUGCGGAUCUUGAGGCAGGUAGGGGUCGCGAGAACAGUCGGUGGAGCGGUGAAAUGCGUAGAUAUCGACUGGAAUGCCGAUGGUGAAGACGCGCGACUGGGCCUGUCCUGACGCUGAGGCACGAAAGCGUGGGGAGCAAA
rnacentral:rRNA from 1 species